GGUUAAGCGACUAAGCGUACACGGUGGAUGCCCUGGCAGUCAGAGGCGAUGAAGGACGUGCUAAUCUGCGAAAAGCGUCGGUAAGGUGAUAUGAACCGUUACAGCCGGCGAUGUCCGAAUGGGGAAACCCAGUGCAAUUCGUUGCACUAUCGUUAACUGAAUACAUAGGUUAACGAGGCGAACCGGGGGAACUGAAACAUCUAAGUACCCCGAGGAAAAGAAAUCAACCGAGAUUCCCCCAGUAGCGGCGAGCGAACGGGGAGCAGCCCAGAGUCUGAAUCAGCUUGUGUGUUAGUGGAACGGUCUGGAAAGUCCGACGGUACAGGGUGAUAGUCCCGUACACCAAAAUGCACAGGUUGUGAACUCGAAGAGUAGGGCGGGACACGUGGUAUCCUGUCUGAAUAUGGGGGGACCAUCCUCCAAGGCUAAAUACUCCUGACUGACCGAUAGUGAACCAGUACCGUGAGGGAAAGGCGAAAAGAACCCCGGCGAGGGGAGUGAAAAAGAACCUGAAACCGUGUACGUACAAGCAGUGGGAGCACCUUCGGGUGUGACUGCGUACCUUUUGUAUAAUGGGUCAGCGACUUAUAUUCUGUAGCAAGGUUAACCGUAUAGGGGAGCCGCAGGGAAACCGAGUCUUAACUGGGCGUUAAGUUGCAGGGUAUAGACCCGAAACCCGGUGAUCUAGCCAUGGGCAGGUUGAAGGUUGGGUAACACUAACUGGAGGACCGAACCGACUAAUGUUGAAAAAUUAGCGGAUGACUUGUGGCUGGGGGUGAAAGGCCAAUCAAACCGGGAGAUAGCUGGUUCUCCCCGAAAGCUAUUUAGGUAGCGCCUCGUGAACUCAUCUUCGGGGGUAGAGCACUGUUUCGGCUAGGGGGUCAUCCCGACUUACCAACCCGAUGCAAACUACGAAUACCGAAGAAUGUUAUCACGGGAGACACACGGCGGGUGCUAACGUCCGUCGUGAAGAGGGAAACAACCCAGACCGCCAGCUAAGGUCCCAAAGUCAUGGUUAAGUGGGAAACGAUGUGGGAAGGCACAGACAGCCAGGAUGUUGGCUUAGAAGCAGCCAUCAUUUAAAGAAAGCGUAAUAGCUCACUGGUCGAGUCGGCCUGCGCGGAAGAUGUAACGGGGCUAAACCAUGCACCGAAGCUGCGGCAGCGACACUAUGUGUUGUUGGGUAGGGGAGCGUUCUGUAAGCCUGCGAAGGUGGCCUGUGAGGGUUGCUGGAGGUAUCAGAAGUGCGAAUGCUGACAUAAGUAACGAUAAAGCGGGUGAAAAGCCCGCUCGCCGGAAGACCAAGGGUUCCUGUCCAACGUUAAUCGGGGCAGGGUGAGUCGACCCCUAAGGCGAGGCCGAAAGGCGUAGUCGAUGGGAAACAGGUUAAUAUUCCUGUACUUGGUGUUACUGCGAAGGGGGGACGGAGAAGGCUAUGUUAGCCGGGCGACGGUUGUCCCGGUUUAAGCAUGUAGGCUGGUUGUCCAGGCAAAUCCGGAUAAUCAAGGCUGAGGUGUGAUGACGAGGCACUACGGUGCUGAAGUAACAAAUGCCCUGCUUCCAGGAAAAGCCUCUAAGCAUCAGGUAACAUCAAAUCGUACCCCAAACCGACACAGGUGGUCAGGUAGAGAAUACCAAGGCGCUUGAGAGAACUCGGGUGAAGGAACUAGGCAAAAUGGUGCCGUAACUUCGGGAGAAGGCACGCUGGUGUGUAGGUGAAGCCCCUGCGGGUGGAGCUGAGACCAGUCGAAGAUACCAGCUGGCUGCAACUGUUUAUUAAAAACACAGCACUGUGCAAACACGAAAGUGGACGUAUACGGUGUGACGCCUGCCCGGUGCCGGAAGGUUAAUUGAUGGGGUUAUCCGUAAGGAGAAGCUCUUGAUCGAAGCCCCGGUAAACGGCGGCCGUAACUAUAACGGUCCUAAGGUAGCGAAAUUCCUUGUCGGGUAAGUUCCGACCUGCACGAAUGGCGUAAUGAUGGCCAGGCUGUCUCCACCCGAGACUCAGUGAAAUUGAACUCGCUGUGAAGAUGCAGUGUACCCGCGGCAAGACGGAAAGACCCCGUGAACCUUUACUAUAGCUUGACACUGAACAUUGAGCCUUGAUGUGUAGGAUAGGUGGGAGGCUUUGAAGCGUGGACGCCAGUCUGCGUGGAGCCAACCUUGAAAUACCACCCUUUAAUGUUUGAUGUUCUAACGUUGGCCCCUUACCGGGGUUGCGGACAGUGUCUGGUGGGUAGUUUGACUGGGGCGGUCUCCUCCCAAAGCGUAACGGAGGAGCACGAAGGUUAGCUAAUCCUGGUCGGACAUCAGGAGGUUAGUGCAAUGGCAUAAGCUAGCUUGACUGCGAGCGUGACGGCGCGAGCAGGUGCGAAAGCAGGUCAUAGUGAUCCGGUGGUUCUGAAUGGAAGGGCCAUCGCUCAACGGAUAAAAGGUACUCCGGGGAUAACAGGCUGAUACCGCCCAAGAGUUCAUAUCGACGGCGGUGUUUGGCACCUCGAUGUCGGCUCAUCACAUCCUGGGGCUGAAGUAGGUCCCAAGGGUAUGGCUGUUCGCCAUUUAAAGUGGUACGCGAGCUGGGUUUAGAACGUCGUGAGACAGUUCGGUCCCUAUCUGCCGUGGGCGCUGGAGAAUUGAGGGGGGCUGCUCCUAGUACGAGAGGACCGGAGUGGACGCAUCACUGGUGUUCGGGUUGUCAUGCCAAUGGCACUGCCCGGUAGCUAAAUGCGGAAGAGAUAAGUGCUGAAAGCAUCUAAGCACGAAACUUGCCCCGAGAUGAGUUCUCCCUGAGACUUUAAGUCUCCUGAAGGAACGUUGAAGACGACGACGUUGAUAGGCCGGGUGUGUAAGCGCAGCGAUGCGUUGAGCUAACCGGUACUAAUGAACCGUGAGGCUUAACCUU
rnacentral:rRNA from 1 species